rfam:Gossypium arboreum cultivar AKA8401 contig_27365_3, whole genome shotgun sequence.
AAUAAGAGAAUGAAAAAUCAGAUUUUUCUUCCUGAUUUUUAGUCUUUUCUUCAUGAAAAAAUUCAAAUCCAACUAAAAAUGCUAAAAAUCAGGAGGAAAAAUAUGAUUUGUCAUUCUCCUAUU